rnacentral:rRNA from 1 species
UAAUUGAAGAGUUUGAUCAUGGCUCAGAUUGAACGCUGGCGGCAGGCCUAACACAUGCAAGUCGAGCGGCAGCACAGAGGAACUUGUUCCUUGGGUGGCGAGCGGCGGACGGGUGAGUAAUGCCUGGGAAAUUGCCCGGUAGAGGGGGGAUAACCAUUGGAAACGAUGGCUAAUACCGCAUAACCUCGCAAGAGCAAAGCAGGGGACCUUCGGGCCUUGCGCUACCGGAUAUGCCCAGGUGGGAUUAGCUAGUUGGUGAGGUAAGGGCUCACCAAGGCGACGAUCCCUAGCUGGUCUGAGAGGAUGAUCAGCCACACUGGAACUGAGACACGGUCCAGACUCCUACGGGAGGCAGCAGUGGGGAAUAUUGCACAAUGGGCGCAAGCCUGAUGCAGCCAUGCCGCGUGUAUGAAGAAGGCCUUCGGGUUGUAAAGUACUUUCAG